UGGCUUCCGAUGUUCUCAAACUGGACAACACCUGCUUUGGACGGAUGAAGCUAGACCCGUGUUUUUUCACUAUAUCUGCUCUCUGGAGUCAUCUGUUGUGAGUGAAAGGACUUUACGUCUUGCCUAAGUGUUAGAGAACACUGUGAGUUCGCGGGACUCCAGGCUAAGAAGGGAGGUAUUCCUCUAUAGGGAUACCUUGACUUCGAUGUCUCGGAUUCACGUUCCUG